AUGAUACUCCCUUCGUUCGGAAAUACUUGUCAUCAAAAUGGGUAAAAGAAGAUGUAUCUAGAUAUAUUUUAGUUCUAGAUACAUCUUUUUUUAUCUAUUUUGAUGACAAGUAUUUUCGGACGGAGGGAGUAUAUG
rnacentral:pre_miRNA from 1 species